rnacentral:rRNA from 1 species
GGACGGGUGAGUAACGCGUGAGUAACCUGCCUUCAAGAGGGGGAUAACAUUCUGAAAAGAAUGCUAAUGCCGCAUGAUAUAUCGGAACCACAUGGUUCUGAUAUCAAAGAUUUUAUCGCUUGAAGAUGGACUCGCGUCCGAUUAGUUAGUUGGUGAGGUAACGGCUCACCAAGACCGCGAUCGGUAGCCGGACUGAGAGGUUGAACGGCCACAUUGGGACUGAGACACGGCCCAGACUCCUACGGGAGGCAGCAGUGGGGGAUAUUGCGCAAUGGGGGCAACCCUGACGCAGCAACGCCGCGUGAAGGAUGAAGGUUUUCGGAUUGUAAACUUCUUUUAUUAAGGACGAAAAAUGACGGUACUUAAUGAAUAAGCUCCGGCUAACUACGUGCCAGCAGCCGCGGUAAUACGUAGGGAGCAAGCGUUGUCCGGAUUUACUGGGUGUAAAGGGUGCGUAGGCGGCUUUGCAAGUCAGAUGUGAAAUCUAUGGGCUCAACCCAUAAACUGCAUUUGAAACUGUAGAGCUUGAGUGAAGUAGAGGCAGGCGGAAUUCCCCGUGUAGCGGUGAAAUGCGUAGAGAUGGGGAGGAACACCAGUGGCGAAGGCGGCCUGCUGGGCUUUAACUGACGCUGAGGCACGAAAGCGUGGGUAGCAAACAGGAUUAGAUACCCUGGUAGUCCACGCUGUAAACGAUGAUUACUAGGUGUGGGGGGUCUGACCCCUUCCGUGCCGGAGUUAACACAAUAAGUAAUCCACCUGGGGAGUACGGCCGCAAGGUUGAAACUCAAAGGAA